rnacentral:rRNA from 1 species
GAUGAACGCUGGCGGCGUGCCUAAUACAUGCAAGUCGAGCGAACGGACGAGAAGCUUGCUUCUCUGAUGUUAGCGGCGGACGGGUGAGUAACACGUGGAUAACCUACCUAUAAGACUGGGAUAACUUCGGGAAACCGGAGCUAAUACCGGAUAAUAUUUUGAACCGCAUGGUUCAAAAGUGAAAGACGGUCUUGCUGUCACUUCUAGAUGGAUCCGCGCUGCAUUAGCUAGUUGGUAAGGUAACGGCUUACCAAGGCAACGAUGCAUAGCCGACCUGAGAGGGUGAUCGGCCACACUGGAACUGAGACACGGUCCAGACUCCUACGGGAGGCAGCAGUAGGGAAUCUUCCGCAAUGGGCGAAAGCCUGACGGAGCAACGCCGCGUGAGUGAUGAAGGUCUUCGGAUCGUAAAACUCUGUUAUUAGGGAAGAACAUAUGUGUAAGUAACUGUGCACAUCUUGACGGUACCUAAUCAGAAAGCCACGGCUAACUACGUG